GACAGGAUGUCCGAGUGGUCUAAGGAGAUCGAUUAGAACUUGGUUUCAAGCAAACCAUCAGAUCGAUUCGCUUCGGCGGCGGGGGUUCGAAUCCCUCUUCUGUCU
rnacentral:tRNA from 1 species